GACUCGAUGGGCCUCGAGGACGAACGCUGGCGGCGUGCCUAACACAUGCAAGUCGAACGGAAGUAAGAGCUUCGGUUUUUACUUAGUGGCGAACGGGUGAGUAACGCGUGAGAAACCUGGCCUCUCGAGUGGGGGGACUAACAGAUGGAAACAUCUGCUAAUACCGCAUAAGACCACGGGAUCACAUGUUCCUGGGGGUAAAAAGAUUUAUCGGGUGUAGGGGUGAGCUCGCGUCCGAUUAGCUAGUUGGUGAGGUAACGGCCCACCAAGGCGACGAUCGGUAGCCGACCUGAGAGGGUGAUCGGCCACAUUGGAACUGAGACACGGUCCAAACUCCUACGGGAGGCAGCAGUGAGGAAUAUUGGUCAAUGGACGAGAGUCUGAACCAGCCAAGUAGCGUGAAGGAUGACUGCCCUAUGGGUUGUAAACUUCUUUUGUUUGGGAAUAAAGUUCGGGACGUGUCCCGUUUUGUAUGUACCAUUCGAAUAAGCAUCGGCUAAUUCCGUG
rnacentral:rRNA from 1 species